AUUGAACGCUGGCGGCAGGCCUAACACAUGCAAGUCGAACGAGUGGCGGACGGGUGAGUAAUGUCUGGGAAACCGCCUGAUGGAGGGGGAUAACGACUGGAAACGGUAGCUAAUACCGCAUACCAUCGGAUGUGCCCAGAUGGGAUUAGCUAGUAGGUGGGGUAACGGCUCACCUAGGCGACGAUCCCUAGCUGGUCUGAGAGGAUGACCAGCCACACUGGAACGAAGACACGGUCCAGACUCCUACGGGAGGCAGCAUUGGGGAAUAUUGCACAAUGGGCGCAAUCCUGAUGCAGCCAUGCCGCGUGUAUGAAGAAGGCCUUCGGGUUGUAAAGUACUUUCAGCUGGGAGGCGUUACCCGCAGAAGAAGCACCGGCUAACUCCGUGCCAGCAACCGCGGUAAUAC
rnacentral:rRNA from 1 species